rnacentral:rRNA from 1 species
UACGUAGGAUCCAAGCGUUAUCCGGAAUUACUGGGCGUAAAGCGUACGUAGGUGGCUGUUUAAGUGAGAUGCGAAAUCUGGCGGCUCAACCGUCUGGACUGUAUCUCAUACUGGGCAGCUUGAGGUUGGCAGAGGCAAGUGGAAUUUCCGGUGUAGCAGUGAAAUGCGUAGAGAUCGGAAGGAACACCAAUGGCGAAGGCAGUGUCCUGGGGAGUACCUGACGCUCAGGUGCGAAAGCUAGGGGAGCGAACGGG